CCUACGGGUGGCAGCAGUGGGGAAUAUUGGGCAAUGGGCGCAAGCCUGACCCAGCAACGCCGCGUGAAGGAAGAAGGCUUUCGGGUUGUAAACUUCUGUUCUGAGGGACGAAGAAAGUGACGGUACCUCAGGAAUAAGCCACGGCUAACUACGUGCCAGCAGCCGCGGUAAUACGUAGGUGACAAGCGUUAUCCGGGUUUAUUGGGUGUAAAGGGCGUGUAGGCGGGAAAGCAAGUCAGAUGUGAAAGCUCAGGGCUCAACCCUGGGCCUGCAUUUGAAACUGUGUGUCUUGAGUGCUGGAGAGGAGAUCGGAAUUCCGUGUGUAGCGGUGAAAUGCGUAGAUAUACGGAGGAACACCAGUGGCGAAGGCGGAUUGCUGGACAGUAACUGACGCUGAGGCGCGAAAGCGUGGGGAGCAAACAGGAUUAGAUACCCCGGUAGUC
rnacentral:rRNA from 1 species